rnacentral:rRNA from 1 species
GACGAACGCUGGCGGCGUGCUUAACGCAUGCAAGUCGAACGGAAAGGCCCCUUUGGGGGUACUCGAGUGGCGAACGGGUGCGUAACACGUGAGUAACCUGCCCUUGACUUCGGGAUAACUUCAGGAAACUGGGGCUAAUACCGGAUAGGAAUCCUUGCUGCAUGGUGGGGGUUGGAAAGCUUCGGCGGUUUUGGAUGGACUCGCGGCUUAUCAGCUUGUUGGUGGGGUAGUGGCUUACCAAGGCUUUGACGGGUAGCCGGCCUGAGAGGGCGACCGGCCACAUUGGGACUGAGAGACGGCCCAGACGCCUACGGGAGGCAGAAGUGGGGAAUAUUGCACAAUGGGCGGAAGCCUGAUGCAGCAACGCCGCGGGCGGGAUGACGGCCUUCGGGUUGUAAACCGCUUUCAGCAGGGGCGAAGCUUGUGGUGACGGUACCUGCAGAAGAAGCACCGGCUAACUACGUG